rnacentral:lncRNA from 1 species
AAUGUAAUGGAUUUUGUUCUUUAGAUUAAAAAUUUUUGGUGUUUUUGGUUCAAAAGUGUUCCAAUAAAUUGUGAAACUAUAAAAUUUCAAGGAACAGUUUGAGUUAGUUGGCACUACACAUUCUUAAUUAACGCCAAACACUCUUAAUUUCAACUUCGAAGUGUUUCAAGUAUUGUGAAAAAACUUUGUUAAAAUUUUGAUUUAAGACAUUACGUGACGAUAGAAUUCAUGAGAACACAUCAAGCCACAAAAAUGAGCGGGCAAAAGAAAAGGAUUACUGCGGUUUGUCGUCUCGAAGGAAUAGCAAACCCCGCUUAUGAGCCGGAACCUGGAUAUGCUUGGGAUGGUUGUAUGGCGUCAGCCAAUAGCCAGCCGGAGGGCAACAACAACAAUAAUAACGGAAGCGGCAGUGGCAUUGGUGCCAUACUAAAUGGGUGCACAACAAAAUG